rnacentral:rRNA from 1 species
GAUGAACGCUGGCGGCGUGCCUAAUACAUGCAAGUCGAGCGAACAGAUGAGGAGCUUGCUCCUCUGACGUUAGCGGCGGACGGGUGAGUAACACGUGGAUAACCUACCUAUAAGACUGGGAUAACUUCGGGAAACCGGAGCUAAUACCGGAUAAUAUAUUGAACCGCAUGGUUCAAUAGUGAAAGACGGUUUUGCUGUCACUUAUAGAUGGAUCCGCGCCGCAUUAGCUAGUUGGUAAGGUAACGGCUUACCAAGGCAACGAUGCGUAGCCGACCUGAGAGGGGGUGGGCCCCCACUGGAACUGAGAAAGGGCCCAAGCCCCAAGGGGGGGCGGAAGGGGGGAAUUUGCCGGAAGGGGGGAAAGCCUGGGGGGGAAACGCGCCGGGGGGGGUAAAGGGUCUGGGGUGGUAAAACUUUUUUUUUGGGGAAAAAAAAAUGUGUAAGUAACUAGGCCCGUCUGACGGGACCCGAAUAAGAAGCCCCGGGCAAACUAGGG